rnacentral:rRNA from 1 species
ACGAACGCUGGCGGCGUGCCUAACACAUGCAAGUCUGGGAGAAUUGGGUAGCAAUAUCCAUAGUAAACCGGCGCACGGGUGAGUAAUAUAUAGGUAAUAUGCCUUUUGGUUUGGGAUAACCCCGCGAAAGCGGGGCUAAUACCGAAUGAAGUUCCGAGACGGCCUCGUUUCGGGAUUAAAGCUUCGGCGCCAAGAGAUUAACCUGUAUCCCAUUAGAUAGUUGGCGAGGUAACGGCUCACCAAGUCUGCGAUGGGUAGCUGAUCUGAGAGGAUGAUCAGCCACACUGGAACUGAGACACGGUCCAGACUCCUACGGGAGGCAGCAGUGAGGAAUAUUGCGCAAUGGAGGAAACUCUGACGCAGCGACGCCGCGUGAAGGAUGAAGGCCCUCUGGGUUGUAAACUUCUGUAGAGAGGGAAGAAUUUUUCGCUUCGCGAAAUUGACGGUACCUCUAAAGUAAGGGUCGGCUAACUACGU